rnacentral:misc_RNA from 1 species
CCCCGUGUAUAAUAUGGGCAGAAACUUAUCUGAAAAAUACAAGCUUUGGUGGCUGAAGGUGGUGAUAUUUAUAAGAGAAUGAGUCUAUUUGUGUUCUUUUUGAAGGGUAAGCUAUGUGUGGGUAAUUUGUCAAAUCAAAACAAACUUAGGAUACAAGAAGAAGCUGCAAAACAAGGAGAAGUAUUCUCAUAUUUGUAGGCGCAAGAGAGGUUUAGAAAGAGAAGGGUUUGAGAGAG